CUUUUUUUGCUGCAGCUCUCUAAAGUGGAGCAUUGGGGAUUCUUUUUUAUCAAUCCUUCUAUCUUUACUGUGUCUGGUGGCAAGAUAAACGUGGGCUCUUGUCCUGCUGCGUUUCUCACAGUGUUCUUACAUUUGAGUGGCAAGGGUAACUACAAGAUGAUCGUUCAAAGACCUGCAACCCUGACAGUGACAGGGUCAUGGGGGGGAGCUGGUGCCUAUUUCCAGCAGUCAUUGGGCGAGAAGAGGGGUACACCCUGGGAAGGUCAUCAGUCACCUAUCACAGGAAAGCCUAAGUGUACAUGCAUGGGAAGAACAUGCAAACACCAUGCAGGAAGACCACAGGCUGGGACCCGAACCCUGGACCUUCUUGCUGCAAGGCAACAGUGCUACCAACUGCACCACUCUGCAGCCCAGCAUUGAAUAAGUUGGUUCUAUCACAAACUAAAACAAUUUUUGUGAGUUAUAUAACUGUAACUGAUCACAUCUUUUCUUUUUUUCAAUUCACAGCUGCUACUGUAUAUGAGCAGGAUGUGUUUGGAA